AUGGCCGUGGUGAUGGCUCUGGCGUUGGCCGGCAUGGUGGCGAGCUCGUCGGCGGCGGUCUACCAGGUCGGCGGCUCCUCCGGGUGGACCAUCCUCGGCAACGUCAACUACGCCGACUGGGCUGGGAAGCAGACCUUCAAAGUGGGGGACGUCAUCGAGUUCAAGUACCCGCAGGGCAUCCACAACGUGCUGGAGGUGAACAAGGCGGACUACAGCAGCUGCACCAACUCGACGCCCAUCGCCACGCACACCUCCGGCGACGACAAGGUCACCAUCAAGAGCCCCGGCCACCGCUUCUUCAUCUGCGGCGUGCCGGGCCACUGCGCCGCCGGCCAGAAGCUCAACGUCCGCGUGCUCAAGACACAGAAGGCCCGCUCCUCGGCCCCGUCCCCGUCCCCGUCGCCCUCCGCCACCGCGCCGGCGCCGGCCGCGGCGUCCCCGCGCGCCGGAGACACCAGCGAGAGCAGCGCCUCGACCCCGCCCGCCGCGGCGACUUCGUCUGACGGAGGGGCAACGACGACCGCGCCCGCGCCGAAUUCCAACGGCGCCGGCGUCGUCCGCGCGGGCUAUGCCGUGGCAUUGGCCAUGGCCGCGUCCAUGGCGAUGCUACAGUAG
rnacentral:rRNA from 1 species